UGAUUGGACGUGCUUGCACGGACUUGACGUUGGUUUACCAGCGAGUGGCGGACGGGUGAGUAACACGUAGGUAACCUGCCCCAAAGCGGGGGAUAACAUUUGGAAACAGAUGCUAAUACCGCAUAACAAUUUGAAUCGCAUGAUUCAAAUUUAAAAGAUGGCUUCGGCUAUCACUUUGGGAUGGACCUGCGGCGCAUUAGCUUGUUGGUAGGGUAACGGCCUACCAAGGCUGUGAUGCGUAGCCGAGUUGAGAGACUGAUCGGCCACAAUGGAACUGAGACACGGUCCAUACUCCUACGGGAGGCAGCAGUAGGGAAUCUUCCACAAUGGGCGCAAGCCUGAUGGAGCAACACCGCGUGAGUGAAGAAGGGUUUCGGCUCGUAAAGCUCUGUUGUUAGAGAAGAACGUGCGUGAGAGCAACUGUUCACGCAGUGACGGUAUCUAACCAGAAAGUCACGGCUAACUACGUGCCAGCAGCCGCGGUAAUACGUAGGUGGCAAGCGUUAUCCGGAUUUAUUGGGCGUAAAGCGAGCGCAGGCGGUUUGAUAAGUCUGAUGUGAAAGCCUUUGGCUUAACCAAAGAAGUGCAUCGGAAACUGUCAGACUUGAGUGCAGAAGAGGACAGUGGAACUCCAUGGGUUUAG
rnacentral:rRNA from 1 species